rnacentral:rRNA from 1 species
GACGAGCGCUGGCGGCGUGCUUAACACAUGCAAGUCGAACGGUGAAGCGCUUGCCUUUUUGGUGGGUGUGGAUGAGUGGCGAACGGGUGAGUAACACGUGAGUAACCUGCCCUCUUCUUCUGGAUAACCUCAUGAAAGUGGGGCUAAUACGGGGUAUUCCGGGUCUGUCGCAUGGCGGGUUUGGGAAAGAUUGCGCCUUUGGGUGUUUUCGGUGGGGGAUGGGCUCGCGGCCUAUCAGCUUGUUGGUGGGGUGAUGGCCUACCAAGGCGGUGACGGGUAGCCGGCCUGAGAGGGUGGACGGCCACACUGGGACUGAGACACGGCCCAGACUCAUGCGGGAGGCAGCAGUGGGGAAUAUUGCACAAUGGGCGCAAGCCUGAUGCAGCGACGCCGCGUGAGGGAUGGAGGCCUACGGGUUGUGAACCUCUUUCGCCAGUGAAGCAGGCCUGCUCCUGUGUGGGUGGGUUGACGGUAGCUGGAUAAGAAGCGCCGGCUAACUACGUG